rnacentral:rRNA from 1 species
AACUUUGAAAAGGUAAAAAUGGUUAUUGGGUUUCUAAAAUAAUAAAGUUUUGGAGUAGGGAAUAUCGAGAUAAAAUUUUAGCUUUACCGAGAGGGAAUUUUGAAAGAGGGUUAAAUUAAAGGAAAGAAAUAAUUUUAUGUACCUUUUGUAUCAGGGUUUAUUAAAUAAUAUGAAGAUUAUCUAAAUCUCGAUUUGAGGAGAGCUAACUUAUUAAGUAAUUUAAGGUAGCAAACUUAUGUAAAAUAGUAGGUUAGGAGCGAAAUACUAGUCGAUCCUCUAGGUUUCUAGUUUCUUAAGAGAUAAAUUUAAUUUAGAUAUUAAAAGUGGUCCUUGUUAAUUAAGGAUUAAGCAAAUUAAUAUUAAGAUUUUAGGGGAUAAGCUCUAAAGUAUUUUAUAAACCAAAUAAAGGGGGUAACAGUAGGCCUAGAAGUAACCACCAAGAAUAUGUUAUAAUUCAUCCCCGUUAAAUAAAAUUUUUAUUAUUUUAAAUAUUUAUUAAGAUAAUUUUGUGAAUAAAAUAUAAAAUGAAAUAAUGAUAAAAUUAUUACACCAGACUGUUCUUUUAAAGGAAUUCGGCAAAUUUGUGUUCGCCUGUUUAUCAAAAACAUCGCCUUUAGUUUAUAUAGAAGGUCUCACCUGCCCACUGAUAAUUUUAAGGGCCGCGGUAUUUUGACCGUGCAAAGGUAGCAUAAUCAUUAGUCUUUUAAUUGGAGACUGGAAUGAAAGGUAGGACGAGGCACAAACUGUCUCCAAAAGAAUCAGGAAUUUAUCUUUUUAGUGAAAAGACUAAAAUAAAAUUAUAGGACGAGAAGACCCUAUAGAACUUGAUAAAUUAUAAAUAAGUCUUUUAGUAAAGGGUACAGGCUUUAUUUAGGUUUUAUUAUGUUGGGGUGACAGGGUAAUAAAAUAACUUACUUUAAACAAACCACGGAUAUGUGAAUUUAGGAACCAUAAAUAAUGAAUAGAAAAUUAAGUUACCUUAGGGAUAACAGCGUAAUCUUCUUUGAGAGUUCAUAUCGAUAAGAGGGGUUGCGACCUCGAUGUUGGAUUAAAGGUAAUUCUAGGUGCAGAAGCUUAGAGUUGGGGUCUGUUCGACCCCUAAGACUUUACAUGAUCUGAGUUCAGACCGGCGUGAGCCAGGUCGGUUUCUAUCCUUAAUAAGUAGGAAUAUUUUAGUACGAAAGGACCAAAUAUUAAAGAUAAUCUUUAAAGUUAGAAUAUU